ensembl:rRNA 5S_rRNA 5S ribosomal RNA
UUUCACAGCCAUAUCACCCUGCAGCCCAAGACCGGGUUACUCACUGAAGCUAAGCAGGGCUGAGCCUGGUCAGUACUUGGAUGCAUGACCACAUGGGAAAACUAGGUUGUUGUUGGAA